UGAUCUUUGCGCUCUCUGAACAGAUGAGUGAACAGCACAGGACACAGAGAGGGGGCCGAGGGUCUCCCGCCCAGCCUGGCCGAGAAUGCAGCUUGUAGGAACCCCGCAGUAAUUCUUGGGGUCCCUAAAAAAACAACGUUUGUUCCCACCCACAGGGGAAGACGUCUUGCAAUUAGAAGGAAACGGUAACCCCCCCAACUGUACCGACAACAUUUCUGAGUUCCCCGAAAGGGGUGUUGUAAAGCUAGCGUAUUUCUUUUUCCCCCGGAGAUGACCCGAAAACAUGAGUUCCCUGUAGGCGGAACCUUCCACGGAAGGUGAACUGAGCUCAGAAAGGGAGCAGGAAGGGAAGGGUAUUUCUGGAAGUGGGAGCGCUGGGGCGGAGGGACAGGAGGACGCCCACUCUGCUCGUGCAGAGACGGACAGGUGCUAGCCUGGAGCCCUUACUUUGCUUAGCUGUGGCCGUCUCCACUGCAAUUAUUUUAGGUUGUCCCAGCUAUUUUAAAUAUGCCAUAUAAUGCUGACCAAGUAAAUGUAGCAGCACAUUCCCCCAGGUUUUAAGAUUGAUGAAAACGGGGACGACGCGGCAUCAUACUGUUACAACGGACUUUUUAUUGUAGUUGUUGUUUAAGUGCAAAGGAAGGCUGGUGGUACCUGAUAAAUAGAAAAGGCAAGAGUCUACUACGGACCAUGAGCGGAAAACCACGGACGCUUCUGAGAGUAAUUAAUCCCCGCUGCACAGUCUCCUGCCUUCAGCAGAGUUUGGAGGAAAAGCCUUCAUUUGGAGCAAAUAGGGACCAAGGAGGCCUCACAUAUAAAUGGCGCACCUGGAUCCCUAACAGACUUCAGGGAAUUUUGGAAUAAGCAUCUGAAACAAAGAUUACAGAACAAUUGAUGUGCAAGACCCUUGGUUAAAACAACUGAAGAAAAUUCAGAAAAGCGAUUAUCUCUAAAUAGGUCAUUUGCACAGCAAAGAAGCGUACUGCUCACUGAACUGAGCUGAACUCAUUGAAUUCAUUGACUCUUGCCUUUAUUUCGAGAAACAAAGAAUUUAUCCAGGAAAGCAAUUAAACUCUGGCCUAUUUAAAGAAACCUGUUGCUCUUUUGUAAACCGGACUAGAAUUUCUUUGCGUAGGAUGUAAAUGUUAAGGGAGCGUGGACAAUUGCUUCUUUGUGGCUAUGUCACGUUGUCACGUAGAAACAGUCACUUACUGUGACUACUGUGUACGUCAGAGCUGGACAAGAAGGAUAAAACGAUGAUUUCUAAGUUCUUGAUGAUUCUUCUCAUCUCUAAUAGCCUGCAGAGAGAGAGAGGGAGGAAAGGGAAAUUUUGAGGUCACUGUCUUUGUGCUUGGCUUCUGUCACUUAGUGUAAUGUUCUCAAGGUUGAUCCCUGUGAUAGCUGGAUAUAGAGUGUGUCCGGACUUCAUUCCUUGUAUUACCAAGUAAUCUUUCCUACUAUUCAUACA